AGCAAUUGCAGUCUAAAAUACUACUCUGCAAAAAACAUUUCAUGUAUUUUCAGGAAUUUAUUGUUCAUUUACAGUCUAAGUUAACUGACUGUGGUGCUCAGCACUACACAGGUGACUCAAUUUUCCUCCUUGCUCCUUCAGAAACAAGCUAGUUAAAAAGCUUCCCGGUCAGCCUGUGAAAGAUACACUGCAAUGACUACAUAAAAUGCUACUGAGAUUGUGUAACUUGAGGGGGGAAAAAAAAAUAGAAGGUACCUUGGAAAACUAUCAAGCACUUGUUGAGAAAUUUGGAUUACAUACCAUUCCACAUCACUGAAGUUAAAUGCCAUUAAAUUCUGUUCUUUUUGUCUGACAAAUAAAAUGAACAAAUGCA